GCCUGCGUAGCUCAGUGGUAGAGCACUUUCUUGGUAAGAAAGAGGUCCUGAGUUCAAUCCUCAGCGUAGGCUC
rnacentral:tRNA from 2 species